UAAGAAAAGAGGUCGAAGACAGGAAGCAAAUGAAAAACUUAGUCCAAUUUCAAAGAGACAAGCUCGAAUAUAGAGCACAUCAAACAACAGUCUAUCCAUCGCAGGUUUUGAAGCCUUUGCUAAUUGUUUAGACGUGGCUCUUUUGGACUCAGCGGAUGCACGAUGACCAGUCUGCAAUCCUGGACGGCUGGACCUCGAGUUCAAAGUGUUAAUAAACAUGGUCGAUCCCAUUAAACCAAAAGCAUCGAGUCAACUUGCCAACAAACUCAGUCGGUACGCAGAAGAUAGCAAGGAUACCCAUUCGGUACGCAAAAGACCAUGAAGAUAAAUGAAGACUUGGACCAUGUUGGGGAAGUAUUCAAUCCAGUACUGAUGAUUAAGUUGUAGAAUUCUAAACAUUGAUGAUAACCAUUUGCGAAUAACUGAAGAGUGGAAGUCUAAACAGGAGCUUUCCUGUCAAAACAAA